GGACGUGCUACCUUUAACAUGUUUCUUAGUCUGAUUUAAUCAUGAAAAACUGAAGUGGACGCCAUUGAUGUUUACCUGGACGGACAGUUUCUGGUGGUCUGUGAAGAAAUGGAAACCUUCAUUCAGACAUCAGGCAAAGAUUCCGCUCCCUGGACAUCAACCCUGAUGAGAGCCCUAAAGAGUUGUAUGUGAUGCUCAAGGAGCUCUUUGGGAAAUGGAUCCAGCCAAAAGGUAAAAGCAUCCAAGAAGUAAGUGAAAUAACCAUCCUACAACAAUAUUUGAGAAUGUUGUCCCCUGAGCUUCAGGUAUCGAUCAAAGAGCAUGACACAGAUUCAGCAACGGGGACUACCAAGCUGGCCGAUGUCUCUGUGGCUGCACGGAAGAAGGGUCAACCAUGGAGCUACAAUGCAUGGAGGCAGACAAAGGACAGCCACAAACCAGCCCAACAGUUCCCACAGGGGGAAUCAUCCAGUGUGGGUAAGCCUCCCAUGUGGGAGGGGUCAGCCAGCUAGCAGGCCAACAAAACCCUCCAUCAAAAAGCUAAUUUGUUAUUUACGUGGACUUGAAGGCCAUACUAAACUCAUCUCAGUUAAGAUGACACAAAUGUGCUUAAAAAUGAUUUUUAUAUUAAAAUGCAAAACAUUGAAGAACCAUUCUUAUGGCCUUGCUUGAC